rnacentral:lncRNA from 1 species
CUGGAGGUAGGAGGUUUUUUGGGUUUUUUGUUUUUUCGGACUCCCAUUUCAAGAGUUUUGGGGAAGCAGAGAGAGGAGACCGAGGCGAGGGCAGAGCCGGCACUCACUGACUCCUCGGCUGCAUCCCGGCCGCGCUCCCGCCCUUUCCCGCCAUUCCAGCAGGAUGAGAGCUGCGGAGCUCCUGGUGCUGUGUCUGCCAGUGCUCCUGGUGCAGGGACAGUUCAGCAGGUUCGAGGGCAUCACCUACCCCGAGCCAGUCCAGUACUCCCAGUACGACCAGCAGGCAGAAAUUCAGGAUUACUACGNNNNNNNNNNNNNNNNNNNNGGGUCUGUCCUUGCAGAUGUCACCCCCCGAGCCCCUGAGGAGCAGUUCCGGUACCAAUCCCAGCAGCAAUCCCAGCAGGAAACCGUGCCAGCCCCGACCCCAGCUGCGGUGCCCGAGACGGAGCCCACGGAGCCG